GACGAACGCUGGCGGCGUGCUUAACACAUGCAAGUCGAACGGGAUCUUAGUGGAAAUUCUUUCGGGAAUGGAAAUGAAAUGAAAGUGGCGAACGGGAGAGUAAAACGUGAGCAACCUACCGUACACAGGGAGAUAGCCGUUGGAUACGACGAUUAAUACCGCAUGAGACAACAGAAUCGCAUGAUAUAGGGGUCAAAGAUUUAUCGGUGUAAGAAGGGCUCGCGUCUGAGUAGCUAGAUGGAAGGGUAAAGGCCUACCAAGGCGACGGUCAGUAGCCGGUCUGAGAGGAUGAACCGCCACCUUGGAGCUGAGACACGGUCCAAACUCCUACGGGAGGCAGCAGUGGGUAAUAUUGCACAAUGGGGGGAACCCUGAUGCAGCUACGCCGCGUGAGCGAAGAAGGUUUUCGAAUCGUAAAGCUCUGUCCUAUGAGAAGAUAAUGACGGUAUCAUAGGAGGAAGCCCCGGCUAAAUACGUG
rnacentral:rRNA from 1 species